rnacentral:rRNA from 1 species
UACGUAGGGGGCAAGCGUUGUCCGGAUUUAUUGGGCGUAAAGCGCUCGCAGGUGGUUCGUUGCGUCGUGCGUGAAAGACCCCGGCUCAACUGGGGAGUGUCGUGCGAUACGGGCGAACUAGAGGCCAGUAGGGGGAUGCGGAAUUCCGGGUGUAGUGGUGGAAUGCGUAGAGAUCCGGAGGAACACCAGCGGCGAAGGCGGCAUCCUGGACUGGUCCUGACACUCAGGAGCGAAAGCGUGGGGAGCGAUCCGG